CGUAGGGGCGAGCGUUGUCCGGAAUUAUUGGGCGUAAAGCGCGCGUAGGCGGCUUGGUUAAGUCCUGUGUGAACGACCACGGCUCGAACCGUGGGGUGCAACGGGAAACUGGCCGGCUUGAGUGCAGGAGAGGGGAGCGGAAUUCCCGGUGUAGCGGUGGAAUGCGUAGAGAUCGGGAGGAACACCAGUGGCGAAGGCGGCUCCCUGGCCUGUAACUGACGCUGAGGCGCGAAAGCGUGGGGAGCGAACAGGAUU
rnacentral:rRNA from 1 species